AUUGAACGCUGGCGGCAUGCCUUACACAUGCGAGUCGAACGGCAGCACGGGAGCUUGCUCCUGGUGGCGAGUGGCGAACGGGUGAGUAAUACAUCGGAACGUACCCUGAAGUGGGGGGAUAACGUAGCGAAAGUUACGCUAAUACCGCAUAUUCUGUGAGCAGGAAAGAGGGGGAUCGCAAGACCUCUUGCUUUAGGAGCGGCCGAUGUCGGAUUAGCUAGUUGGUGAGGUAAAGGCUCACCAAGGCGACGAUCCGUAGCGGGUCUGAGAGGAUGGUCCGCCACACUGGGACUGAGACACGGCCCAGACUCCUACGGGAGGCAGCAGUGGGGAA
rnacentral:rRNA from 1 species